rnacentral:rRNA from 1 species
CUGCACAAUGCUGGAAAACAAGCGAUGCGGGAAAUUCCAAGUGCCGGGCACACAAUGUCGGCUGUUCCAUUGUCUUAAAAAACAUAGGAAGUAAGGGCUGGGUAAGACGGGUGCCAGCCGCCGCGGUAAUACCUGCAGCCCGAGUGGUGGCCGUUAUUAUUGGGCCUAAAACGUCCGUAGCCAGUUUGGUAGAUGCCUGUGUAAAUCGAACGGCUUAACCGUUCGAACUGCGGGUAGACCGCCAGACUUGGGACCGGGAGAGUCACGAAGUACUCCGGGGGUAGAGGUGAAAUUCUGUAAUCCUCGGGGGACUACCGGUGGCGAAGGCGUCGUGAUAGAACGGCUCCGACGGUGAGGGACGAAGCCCUGGGGCGCAAACCGGAUUAGAUACCCGGGUAGUCCAGGGUGUAAACGCUG